rnacentral:piRNA from 1 species
GAAGAAGUUAGGUAUCCCGAUGGCCA